AACCCGACUCCUCGACGCGGAGAGCAGAUUCGCGUGCAAAACUCCCCGCGCGUCCGCCGCCGAAAGCCCACGCCCCGACCCGCAGGGUGAGACCGGGCCGAAGGGUGGAUUCUGGACCAAGUGUAUGGAGAAAUUCAGUCAGUAGAGAGGCUUAGGCAGCAGGACAGAGCCACGAUCGGCAUGCAAAACUAGAGAGGAAGCAUAUCUGCUAAUAUAUCUACUUUGCCAUCUAAGCUCGGAGGUGAGAAGGUAGUUUAUGAUGCUACCAAGAAAAUCUUCUCAAGCUCCAGUGGUCUAGCUGAAGAUAUUCUAUUCUUAUUCACAGAUUGGUUGUCACUACUUAGAGAGAUUGUCAAUAUUGAAACAAGGGCUCGGCGAGCGAGUCGUUUCCACCCCUAGCCAAGGUGGUCAAGCUCGGCCUUGCCGCUGUGCUGGCCUAUGGGCUGUUCGACGCCGUCACCUACACGACCUCCGUGCUCGCAUUCCUCGGCUACGAGAAGAGUACAGAUUGUUAUCCUAAUGUGGACUGGUAACAGCGUCACAAGGCCAUUCCGUGUCGCCGGUACGGAUACUUUGGCCCCAGGCUAUCAACAAAGGCUUGAAAAGCAUUCAGGAGAAACUUAACCUUCCAAGCCAAGUGUAUGCCUUUGCACUUGUGGUUGGUUCUGUGGCCUCAGUAUGCUUCACAGUUGUUGGUGUCUUGAUCCUCUCAAAGUGGGGAAAGGGUCGCCUCUCAUGCACAUCCACAGUUUUGUUCUGUUGCAAUGUUCUGUUUCCAUGCUCUUUUCCAUGGGUGUGAGUUUUCUACACAUUAGUUUGAAGUAAUUGAUAUUUGACUAAUUCAGUUUUCUGUGGAUAAAAUCCUUCUAACUUGGUUAAUAAUUAAGAUAAUUUAGUUUUGGUC